rnacentral:rRNA from 1 species
CGUAGCGGCAGGCUUAACACAUGCAAGUCGAGGGGCAGCACGGGUAGCAAUACCUGGUGGCGACCGGCGCAAGGGUGCGUAACGCGUGAGCAACAUGCCCUAUACAGGGGGAUAAUCCAGGGAAACUUGGUCUAAUAUCCCAUAGUAUUUAGAGGAGGCAUCUUCUAUAAAUUAAAGCUUCGGUGGUAUAGGAUUGGCUCGCGUGACAUUAGCUAGAUGGUGAGGUAACGGCUCACCAUGGCAAUGAUGUCUAGGGGUUCUGAGAGGAAGGCCCCCCACACUGGGACUGAGACACGGCCCAGACUCCUACGGGAGGCAGCAGUGAGGAAUAUUGGACAAUGGAUGGAAAUCUGAUCCAGCCAUGCCGCGUGCAGGAAGACAGCCCUAUGGGUUGUAAACUGCUUUUAUAUGGGAGCAAUAAGGUCUACGUGUAGACUGAUGAGAGUACCAUAUGAAUAAGCAUCGGCUAACUCCGUG